UAUUGGACAAUGGGCGAAAGCCUGAUCCAGCAAUGCCGUGUGUGUGAAGAAGGCCUUCGGGUUGUAAAGCACUUUUAGUGGCCAAGCAAAGUUCAUGGCUAAUAUCCAUGAACGCUGACGUUACCCACAGAAAAAGCACUGGCUAACUCUGUGCCAGCAGCCGCGGUAAUACAGAGAGUGCAAGCGUUAAUCGGAAUUACUGGGCGUAAAGCGCACGUAGGUGGAGCUUUAAGUCGGAUGUGAAAUCCCCGAGCUUAACUUGGGAAUUGCAUUCGAUACUGAAACUCUUGAGUAUGGUAGAGGGAAGUGGAAUUUCCGGUGUAGCGGUGAAAUGCGUAGAUAUCGGAAAGAACAUCAGUGGCGAAAGCGGCUUCCUGACCAAUACGACACUAGGUGCGAAA
rnacentral:rRNA from 1 species